rnacentral:snoRNA from 1 species
AUGUCAGGAUUAGGACACUUCCUAAACAAGUACUUGAACCUCUCCCAUGCUUCCGGAUAGCUUUCAAGGUCCUUAUUCUUAAAAGUAUAUAUUUCAUUCCUAAUAU